UGGGGAAUAUUGGACAAUGGGCGAAAGCCUGAUCCAGCAAUGCCGCGUGAGUGAUGAAGGCCUUAGGGUUGUAAAGCUCUUUUACCCGGGAAGAUAAUGACUGUACCGGGAGAAUAAGCCCCGGCUAACUGCGUGCCAGCAGCCGCGGUAAUACGAAGGGGGCUAGCGUUGCUCGGAAUCACUGGGCGUAAAGCGCACGUAGGCGGAUCUUUAAGUCAGGGGUGAAAUCCUGGAGCUCAACUCCAGAACUGCCUUUGAUACUGGGGAUCUCGAGUCCGGAAGAGGUGAGUGGAACUCCGAGUGUAGAGGUGAAAUUCGUAGAUAUUCGGAAGAACACCAGUGGCGAAGGCGGCUCACUGGUCCGGUACUGACGCUGAGGUGCGAAAGCGUGGGGAGCAAAC
rnacentral:rRNA from 1 species